rnacentral:lncRNA from 1 species
CUCUCCUGAGCUAUCCCAUCGCCAAGACACUCUGUCCUCCACUCCAAUUGUUAACUGAACCCCAGCCAGCUCGUGCUAUAGAUGCACAUACUGUGAAAUCGUCGCUACUAUAGCUCAUCCGACAACAUCACGGAUCCACCGCUUAUUGUCCAGCGCCUGUGCCACUGUCCUUGAAUUCCUGAUUCUUGGCCUGAUAUUAGUACAAUGUUAGACUUGGAGUCUUCUGGAGGGAACGAAAAACAGAGAUAUAAACCAAGGGGGGUUAGAGGAUUUAAUCAAAAACUUUCCCAUCAGCAUUUCAUUUCAUUUGCAAAUCAAGGGGACUUGGAGUCAGAAGGGACCACAAUUUCAUUUCAUUUGCAAAUCAGAUUUAAUCAAAAACUUUCCCAUCAGCAUACAGAUUGAGAAGAUGGUAAGAAACUUCUCUUAUUUUUGGAAAAGAAAAAAGGAGAUAACCUGCAAUAACUCCGCAGUUGUCAGUUGAG